rnacentral:pre_miRNA from 1 species
GACUGGUCAUUUACCCUGUAGUACCGAGCUGUGUUUGAGAAAUUAAUGCAUACACUGUCGGUUACCGGGUACAUGACUGAGUAU